rnacentral:rRNA from 1 species
GACGAACGCUGGCGGCGUGCUUAACACAUGCAAGUCGAACGGAAAGGCCCUGCUUUUGUGGGGUGCUCGAGUGGCGAACGGGUGAGUAACACGUGAGUAACCUGCCCUUGACUUUGGGAUAACUUCAGGAAACUGGGGCUAAUACCGGAUAGGAGCUCCUGCUGCAUGGUGGGGGUUGGAAAGUUUCGGCGGUUGGGGAUGGAUUCGCGGCUUAUCAGCUGGUUGGUGGGGUAGUGGCUUACCAAGGGUUUGACGGGUAGCCGGCCUGAGAGGGUGAACGGCCACAUUGGGACUGAGAUACGGCCCAGACUCCUACGGGAGGCAGCAGUGGGGAAUAUUGCACAAUGGGCGGAAGCCUGAUGCAGCAACGCCGCGUGCGGGAUGACGGCCUUCGGGUUGUAAACCGCUUUCGCCUGUGACGAAGCGUGAGUGACGGUAAUGGGUAAAGAAGCACCGGCUAACUACGUG